rnacentral:rRNA from 1 species
CACGCCCUAAACGAUGUCAACUAGGUGUUGGGUGGGUAAAACCAUUUAGUACCGGAGCUAACGCGUGAAGUUGACCGCCUGGGGAGUACGGCCGCAAGGUUAAAACUCAAAGGAAUUGACGGGGACCCGCACAAGCGGUGGAUGAUGUGGAUUAAUUCGAUGCAACGCGAAAAACCUUACCUACCCUUGACAUGUCCAGAAGCCUGAAGAGAUUUGGGUGUGCCCGAAAGGGAGCUGGAACACAGGUGC